UGGUUAUAAUUCUAGCUUACUUACUGUAUGUUGCCUUUCAUCAUAUAGUGCAUUCUGUAGUAUAAAGAAUAUAACAAUCGAAGAAUGAAAACAUGGACAUUAAUAAGUACCAACAAAUAAGGUCCAAAGGAGGCGCAAAUUGACUAACCAGAUCCAAUAUUUUGAUUCUAUUCUAUUUAUCUACUACUAUGAUUCAGUUCAAUUUAUAAUUUAGUGUGUUGAUUUUUCGAUUAUUUCA
rnacentral:misc_RNA from 1 species